GACGUAGAUCUAGAUCUAGACCUCUAGAUCUAAAUGCAAUUUUAGCUCUUCACAAAGUGAUACUGACAAAACAGUAUCUCAUUAUACCAGGCCUGAUAUAAUGUCCAGCUAGGAAAAAUAGCUGUAGGACUCAACGCCAUGUUUCAAGUAGAAGAAGAAUUAAAAGGC